UACAGAGGGUGCGAGCGUUGUCCGGAAUCAGCUGGGCGUAAAGGGCGCGUAGGCGGCUUUUCAAGCGUGCGGUGAAAGCUCCGGGGCUUAACUCCGGAGUCUGCCGUGCGAACUGGGAGGCUUGAGUCUGGUAGCAGGUCGAUGGAAUUCCGGGUGUAGCGGUGGAAUGCGUAGAGGAUCCGGAAGAACACCGGUGGCGAAGGCGGUCGACUGGGCCAGUACUGACGCUGAGGCGCGACAGCGUGGGGAGCAAACACGG
rnacentral:rRNA from 1 species